rnacentral:rRNA from 1 species
GACGAACGCUGGCGGCGUGCUUAACACAUGCAAGUCGAACGAAGUGGCGAACGGGUGAGUAACGCGUAAUCAACCUGCCCUUCAGAGGGGGACAACAGUUGGAAACGACUGCUAAUACCGCAUACUCAAGGUGGGGUUUGCGUCUGAUUAGCGAGUUGGAGGGGUAACGGCCCACCAAGGCGAUGAUUGGUAGGCGGUCUGGGAGGAUGAACGGCCACCUUGGGACUGGGAAACGGCCCAGACUCCUACGGGAGGCAGCAGGGGGGAAUCUUCCGGAAUGGACGAAAGUCUGACGGAGCAACGCCGCGUGAGGGAUGACGGCCUUCGGGUUGUAAAGCUCUGUUAAUCGGGACGCGGUACCGGAAUAGAAAGCCACGGCUAACUACGUGCCAGCAGCCGCGGUAAUUC